rnacentral:rRNA from 1 species
GACGAACGCUGGCGGCGUGCCUAAUACAUGCAAGUCGAACGCAGUGGGGGCGGGUGAGUAACACGUGGGUAACCUCCCAUCAGAGGGGAGAAAACUUGGAAAAAGGUGCUAAAACCGAUACGGGAGGAGGGAACCGCGGUGCAUUAGCUAGUUGGUGAGGUAACGGCUCACCAAGGCCACGAGGCAUAGCCGACCUGAGAGGUUGAUCGGCCACACUGGGACUGAGACACGGCCCAGACUCCUACGGGAGGCAGCAGUAGGGAAUCUUCGGCAAUGGACGAAAGUCUGACCGAGCCACGCCGCGUGAGUGAAGAAGGUUUUCGGAUCGUAAAACUCUGUUGUGAGAGAAGCGUUAUCUAACCAGAAAGCCACGGUUAACUACGUGCCAGCAGCCGCGGUAAUAC